rnacentral:piRNA from 1 species
UGAUGAACAUGAUGGUGAAGAUUUCCGC